UGCAGAGGGGGCAAGCGUUGUUCGGAAUUACUGGGCGUAAAGGGCGCGUAGGCGGCCUGUUAAGUCGAACGUGAAAUCCCCGGGCUCAACCCGGGAACUGCGUCCGAUACUGGCAGGCUUGAAUCCGGGAGAGGGAUGCGGAAUUCCAGGUGUAGCGGUGAAAUGCGUAGAUAUCUGGAGGAACACCGGUGGCGAAGGCGGCAUCCUGGACCGGUAUUGACGCUGAUGCGCGAAAGCCAGGGGAGCAAACGGG
rnacentral:rRNA from 1 species